UUGAACGCUGGCGGCAUGUUUUACACCUGCAAGUCGAACGGUAACAGCACUUCGGUGGCUGACGAGUGGCGAACGGGUGAGUAAUACAUCGGAACGUGCCUAGUAGUGGGGGAUAACUACUCGAAAGAGUAGCUAAUACCGCAUGAGAUCUAAGGAUGAAAGCAGGGGACCUUCGGGCCUUGCGCUACUAGAGCGGCUGAUGGCAGAUUAGGUAGUUGGUGGGAUAAAAGCUUACCAAGCCGACGAUCUGUAGCUGGUCUGAGAGGACGACCAGCCACACUGGGACUGAGACACGGCCCAGACUCCUACGGGAGGCAGCAGUGGGGAAUUUUGGACAAUGGGCGCAAGCCUGAUCCAGCAAUGCCGCGUGCAGGAUGAAGGCCUUCGGGUUGUAAACUGCUUUUGUACGGAACGAAAAGCCCUCUUCUAAUACAGGAGGGUCAUGACGGUACCGUAAGAAUAAGCACCGGCUAACUACGUG
rnacentral:rRNA from 1 species